UACGUAGGUGGCAAGCGUUACUCGGAAUCACUAGGCGUAAAGCGCAGGUAGGCGGUUUGAUAAGUCUGUUGUGAAAGCUCCCGGCUCAACUGGGAGAGGCCAACGGAAACUGUCAGGCUUGAGUGUGGUAGAGGAAACUGGAAUUCCUGGUGUAGCGGUGAAAUGCGUAGAUAUCAGGAGGAACACCUAUGGCGAAAGCAGGUUUCUGGGCCAUCACUGACGCUGAGCUGCGAAAGCUAGGGGAGCAAACAGG
rnacentral:rRNA from 1 species